CCUACGGGAGGCAGCAGUGAGGAAUAUUGGUCAAUGGACGCAAGUCUGAACCAGCCAUGCCGCGUGCAGGAAGACGGCUCUAUGAGUUGUAAACUGCUUUUGUACGAGGGUAAACGCAGAUACGCGUAUCUGUCUGAAAGUAUCGUACGAAUAAGGAUCGGCUAACUCCGUGCCAGCAGCCGCGGUAAUACGGAGGGUUCAAGCGUUAUCCGGAUUUAUUGGGUUUAAAGGGUGCGUAGGCGGUCGGAUAAGUUAGAGGUGAAAUCCCGGGGCUCGACUUCGGAAUUGCCUCUGAUACUGGUCGGCUUGAGAGUAGUUGCGGUAGGCAGAAUGUAUGGUGUAGCGGUGAAAUGCGUAGAGAUC
rnacentral:rRNA from 1 species